rnacentral:rRNA from 1 species
UACAGAGGCCUCGAGCGUUAGGCGGAAUCACUGGGCUUAAAGCGUGUGUAGGCGGACUUCUAAGUACCUUGUGAAAUCCCACGGCUUACCCGUGGAACGGCUGGGUAUACUGGUUGUCUUGAGCCACUUAGGGGCUACCGGAACAAAUGGUGGAGCGGUGAAAUGCGUAGAUAUCAUUUGGAACGCCAAUGGUGAAAACAGGUAGCUGGGAGUGUGCUGACGCUGAGGAGCGAAAGCUAGGGGAGCAAACGGG